rnacentral:rRNA from 1 species
AAUCAGUUCAGCACUAAGUCACUUUGUCUUUAUGGCAAAUGUGAGAUGCAGUGUAUGGAAUGUCAAAUUUCUAGUAUGAGAAAUUAAUGAUUUAAGUCCUUCUUAAAUGAGGCCAUUUACCCAAAGAGGGUGCCAGGCCCGUAUAACAUUAAUGAUUACUAGAUGACAUUUCCAAAGAGUCGUGUUGCUUGAUAGUGCAGCACUAAGUGGGUGGUAAACUCCAUCUAAAACUAAAUAUAGCCAUGAGACCGAUAGUAAACAAGUACCGUGAGGGAAAGUUGAAAAGAACUCUGAAUAGAGAGUUAAAUAGUACGUGAAACUGCUUAGAGGUUAAGCCCGAUGAACCUGAAUAUUCUUUAUGGAAAAUUCAUCACUAUAAUUAUAUAAUAUAAAACAAUUAAUAUUAUAAUAGUGUGCAUUUUUUUCAUAAGGGACAUUGUGAUCUAUUAACUUAUAUAUAAAUUUAUCAUAAGAUCAUUAUGCGUAAGUUUAACAAUGUAAAUUUUGCUUGCAAUUUUUAAUAUUGGAUAAAUGCUUUUGAUUUGAUAAAGUGUUGAUAGAUAUAAUUAUAACAGUGCUUAAAUAUAUAUUAUAUAUUUUAUAAUAGCAUAUUAAUCAUUGAUUUUUAUGUUUAUUAUUAUGCACUUGUAUGAUCAACAAUGCGAAAGAUUCAGGAUACCUUCGGGACCCGUCUUGAAACACGGACCAAGGAGUCUAACAUAUUUGCAAGUUAUUGGGAAUAAAAACCUAAUAGCGAAAUUAACAUAACUUAAAUUAUAUUUAUAUAUUUAUAUAUAUAUAUAAUAAUGGGAUUAGUUUUUAGUACUAUUUUAUUAUAGUCUAUUAAUUCAAUCCCGGGGCGUUCUAUCAGUUAUGUAUAAUAAUAUUUUAUAUUAUUUAUACCUCUAACUAGAGCGUACCUUGAGCAUAUAUGCUGUGACCCGAAAGAUGGUGAACUAUAC